GGAUGAAACCUGGGGACCGCAAGGCCUGGGGCAAGGAGAGGAUCCUGCGUCUGAUUAGCUAGYUGGUGAGGUAACGGCCCACCAAGGCAACGAUCAGUAGCCGGCCUGAGAGGGUGAUCGGCCACACUGGAACUGAGACACGGUCCAGACUCCUACGGGAGGCAGCAGUGGGGAAUUUUGCGCAAUGGGCGAAAGCCUGACGCAGCAACGCCGCGUGGGUGAUGAAGGUCUUCGGAUCGUAAAACCCUGUCGUCAGGGACGAAGGUUUGGGUGUUAAUAGCGCUUAAGCUUGACGGUACCUGGAGAGGAAGCCCCGGCUAACUCUGUGCCAACAGCCGCGGUAAUACAGAGGGGGCAAGCGUUAUUCGGAAUUAUUGGGCGUAAAGGGCGCCGUAAGCGGCUUUUUAAGUGAGAUGUGUAAUYCCCGAGCUCAACUUGGGAACUGCAUCUGAGGCUAGAAUACCUGGA
rnacentral:rRNA from 1 species